GCUAAAGUUCUGGAACUGUUUCUCGACAGUUGCAACACGCGCAUCUGGGUCCCUCUCCGGAUCCAGGCAUGAUUUAUGCAAGCAAAUAAAUGUCACUGAGACAUGUCAUUAGACCGGUUCGUUUGAAAUGCAAAUAGCAUUUGCAGCGCGCACCAGAUACACUCUUCAAUUAAAUUUGUCCGCGCAAACUUUUCCCGUGGUCUUGGCGGAAAGUUUGCAGGCGCUUUGAAGUUCGGAUAUAGAUUCUCGCCGUAUACAGAGAGCCGAGCGUGAAACUCGAUAUCAAAUUAUACGCUCUCUCGAACCGCCACCGGAAGUAAAGUUGCCGAUUCCCCUGACUCUCUGGUUAAUCUUCGGACCCUAACUCGCUCGCUUCCUGCUUGCCAACAGUAUCGCGUCAACUGCAGUAUCAGUCGUUGCAUCGGAUACGCGCGUAAUCGCAUUUCGCUCUUCAUCUGAUCGAAAUAUAUAGCGUUGACGUAUCCCAUUCCAGUGGUAUUCCUCUCGCUCGUAUUCGGAUAAGUUCGAAAGCUGAAUUGCACGAUCGAAACGUCGUUGCGUUCAGUGUAGCAGCGGUACUUGAUGGAAUUACAGUUGACGAAGGGUUCGAAGGGGCGGAUGAAAGAGAGAUCGAUGCUCGCCAGGAGGAGAGGCAAGCGAGUCGAUGAAAAGGUCAAAGGUUUCAGAUAUCUUUCACCGACAACGCGUAACAUCGCUUGACUGUCGCAGUUGAAAUAGCGUCAUCCUAUUCUGACUUGACGCGGUUUUAAUCAAGCGGCAUCGACACAUUUGAGGGAAUCAGACGUAAUCUUGACGUAAAUUUGCAAGAUUAUUAUAGUGGCCAAGUUGGUUUUCCAUCUCGUCGCGAUAACGGAUGGACGAGGCAGGCCUUUUAAAAAUCUGCGUGCUCACGUAUGAAUAACCAAUGUAUGAAUGACCAAUUGUCAAUUCAUAGCGAGCUUGCCGGGACCGAAUGUGUCGCAAACGGCCGACUGAUAAGGUUCGCGGAUAACAGGCGAGUAUACGUGGUAGCAAGAUACGAGACGCGGUGAUCUCGGGUGGGCGACCUCGAGACUCGGGACUGCAAGGACAAGCGGCGUGACUAACUCGUUUAUCGUGCUCUCCCGAUCCAAAGAUUUACCAGUCUCCGGUUAUGUUUGAUGCACCAUUAUGUUUUCGAUUACGGUAGGUUAGUUGCAUCGGUAACGUCAUCUCUGUCGUCAGCGGCACGCCGCCGAUACGUCAAAACCGGCGAAACACGUGCUCGUCGCGUUGCGUGGAGAACGCGUACGUCAUCGGUAAUGCCGUUCAUUGACUGACGUCGAUGCACCCAAGAAUGGAGAAUGGUCGAAACAAUCUUAUCACGCAACGAAGAGAUUCCGCUUUUUUCUUCCUUCAUUUAUGCACGAAAUUUCCAGCACAGAUAAUAAUUAAUAACAGCUGAUUGCGCGAAUGUAAAAUUUCAACUUAACGUUAGAAAACUCAAGGACGCAUGUUGGACUUCUUUCCUCACAUGUUUAAACUUUUUUUUAAUUGUCCCGUAUGAUAUAAAGAAAGUAAAGCAUAUGCAUGAUAUAAUAUAAUAUAUAAUAUACAUAUAUGUUGUAUAAUA